GGAAACGAUUGUAUUCUCCUUUCCCAUUCCCGCCGUUUUGUUUGAUUCUCCAACUUUUUUUUUUCUCACACUGACACUGCUAAUCACCUCGAUUUUCAAACAAUAUGUUUCUUUAAUCUUUCUAAUUAGAUUUUCAGUUCUUCCGGUUUUAUUGUUAUCAUACUCCCACCACAUAAAGGGCUCUAAAAUUUUGGGGAUAUAACAAAUUGCAACUUCCAGGGUCACAGCUUCUAAAUCUUCUCGAAAACGGGGGAACCUUGACAAGGAGGUGAAGACAAAAAACAAUAAAAAUAUGAAAUUUCUUGGCCCACUUCAAGGUCAGUUGUAUCCGGAGGCUUCCCCAGUUGGUGAGACUAAAGCAACAAAAAUACCUGAUGUUUACAAGCUUUAUCCAAAUGGUGUUCGUGUGGUAUAUAAAAUGCGUCCAGUGUGUAAAGUGAGGUAAAUAACGAAAAAAUGUGACCUCCUUGGAAACAUAGUCUGAUGCCUUUAACAUCCUGGGAACGGUGUUUUAUUGUUGGUGUUCACGUAGCCUAAUUAAGAGUGAUCAUGCUGCAUAUUUCUGUGCUAAAAAAAGCAAUACGCCGGGGAAUAACCUUAUCUUGCGUAAGUGUCUUCAAAAUCUACGUUUAUUAUGUCGCAAUAGUCUCUAUCUAUCUAUAUCUAUAUAAUCUCUCUAUAUCUCUAUACUAGUCCUAAUACCCGUACGA